UCGGCACUCCAGAAGUAUGUGUAGUGUACCAAUAUGGAGUAACUAAUUUUGUUUGCCUACUUUACAUCAAGUUGUGUGAAGGGACUGAAACCUAUGGACGGGGUGCGUUUAUUCACUUCGAUAACACAGACAGUCCCGAAACUUGUAAUAGAACUAAAAUAAGGAAAAUCAUAAUGAAAUUAUGCUCUAACUUGGUACACAUACUACGGGAGUACCCAAUAUUCUUUAUAACUCUAAUCAGAUACUAAGCUUGUGGUAAUACAUGGAGAUACCUGAAAAAUUCAAGACAUUCUCAGGGGCUCCUGAAGUAUACGCACCAAGAUGUCGCAUAACCUAACCCUGUUCAGGUUGUGCGCCAUCUUGGUGAAUACAUCCUGAAAUUCUUAAAUGACACAGACAAUUAGAUUUACUAAUCACAUUCACAGUUUUUUAUGAAUUUAGUGCCACUUUUGGGUUAAAAUAUGAACACCUAGAAGAGGACUGCAUCUUAUAUGAAUAUUCAAUGAAAUACUGUAUUUUUUGGCUGACAACUCUACACCCAGCAAAUAUGUUGAUCAUGAUUUCAACCAGGGCAUCUUUGUUUAUUUCGGUAGAAUCGUCAUCACGCAAAGAAAUAACUAUUAACAAUAAAGCGGGUGAAUGAUAAAGAUGUUCCUGAAAUUUUCAAUAUUGAUUUUAGUUCGUCAUCAAGGAAAAACACAAAAUAUCUAUUCUAACAGUCAUUGUUUUGACCAAAACCAUUUACUUCCCUAACAAUAGCCAAUGACAACAAAUUAAAGGUAGCGUUACAAUUGGAAUUUUUGCACUUGUUCAAACAUAUUUUCCACUUAUUUGUAAAUCACAUAGUUCAGUAGUCUACUUUGCUCUGGAAGAGUUUUAGCUGAGGUAGAUCAUAAGUGGUUUUGUAGACUGAAAUAACCACCUUGUGCAAAAUAAAAAAAUAUUUUGAGUGUGUGAUAUUAUGCACACGAAUCACAAAAUAUAUUUACAUAACAUUUUCAAUUCAGUAGUCGACUGAAUGGACUAAAAAACUAAAACUGGACAACAAAUUAAAGGUAGUGUAACAAUUGGAAUUUUUGCACUUGUUCAAACAUAUUUUCCACCUAUAGUGAUUGAACCUACAA